rnacentral:rRNA from 1 species
AUUGAACGCUGGCGGCAGGCUUAACACAUGCAAGUCGAGCGGAGAUGAGGUGCUUGCACCUUAUCUUAGCGGCGGACGGGUGAGUAACGCGUAGGAAUCUGCCCUGAAGUGGGGGAUAACUUGGGGAAACUCAAGCUAAUACCGCAUAGACCUGAGGGUGAAAGAUGGGGAUCUUCGGACCUAUCGCUUCAGGAGGAGCCUGCGUCGGAUUAGCUGGUUGGUAGGGUAAAGGCCUACCAAGGCGACGAUCCGUAGCUGGUCUGAGAGGAUGACCAGCCACACUGGGACUGAGACACGGCCCAGACUCCUACGGGAGGCAGCAGUGGGGAAUAUUGGACAAUGGGCGCAAGCCUGAUCCAGCCAUGCCGCGUGUGUGAAGAAGGCUCUAGGGUUGUAAAACACUUUAAGUUGUGAGGAAGUGACAGUUGUAAAUAAUGACUGUCAUUGACGCUAGCAACAGAAUAAGCACCGGCUAACUCCGUGCCAGCCGCCGCAGUAAGAC